UUCAUCAUGUCGCGGCACUCGUUCCCGAGGUCCCACGCCAUCUGCUUCGCCUUGCCAAACCCGAGCUCCUUCGUCUCCAGCGCCGCGUCUCGAAAGAGGUUCAGCGCGUCGGUGGGCAUGGUGGUGUAGUAGGCGAACCCCCCGGCGUUGUACGAGUCCAUCACCUCGAGCCAUUUCCUCAUGUUGAUCACCAUGGACGUGGACGUGGUGUUGCGCGUCGCGUAGUCGCCUCGUUCGCUGAGCAUCAUGAGCGAAGAGCACGCGGGACCCGUCCACCCUUUCUGCGGCGCCGAGAGGAUGGCGUCGACGCCCGUCGCCUUCAUGUCCACCCACACGGUACCGGACGCGAUGCAGUCGAGGACGAAGAGCCCACCGUGCGCGUGCACCGCGUUGGAGAUGCGAAGGAGGUAAUCGUCGGGUAGGAUGAUCCCGGUGCUCGUCUCGACGUGCGGCGCAAACACAACCGCGGGUUUCUCCCUCUGGAUCGUCUUGACAACCUCGUCGAUGUCGUGGGGUGAAAAC
rnacentral:lncRNA from 1 species